GCGAGGCAGCGGUCCAUCCCAAUCAUUAGCAGCCCCUUCAUUUAUUGAUGAGAUCACACAGCGUGUGACACAAGACGUUGAGUCUAGGUUCACUACGACGAUCAAGAACCUAACGGCACGUGUUUUGUUCUUAGAGUCACAGGGUGUGGCUGGGAGUAUGAGCUUGAGAGAGGUGUCAGAUGUAUCUAGUGGGCAACAAGCUUCAAAAGAAAAUGAAUAGGGACAUCAUCUUCUUCUCCUUGUCCUUGUACAUUCCAUUCUUUUCCUCUCUUAUCGGGUCUAAUCUCUAGGUAAU